rnacentral:rRNA from 1 species
GUGAGGAAUUUUCCGCAAUGGGCGAAAGCCUGACGGAGCAAUGCCGCGUGAAGGAUGAAGGCCUAUGGGUUGUAAACUUCUUUUCUCAGAAAAGAAUUAUGACGGUAUCUGAUGAAUAAGCAUCGGCUAACUCUGUGCCAGCAGCCGCGGUAAGACAGAGGAUGCAAGCGUUAUCCGGAAUGAUUGGGCGUAAAGCGUCUGUAGGUUGUUUAAAAAGUAUUCUGUCAAAGAUUAGGGCUUAACCCUAGAUAGGCAGAAUAAACUUUUAAGCUAGAGUUUGGUAGAGGCAGAGGGAAUUCCCGGUGGAGCGGUGAAAUGCGUAGAUAUCGGGAGGAACACCAAAGGCGAAGGCACUCUGCUGGGCCAAUACUAACACUGAGAGACGAAAGCGAGGGGAGCAAAUGGGAUUAGAUACCCCUGUAGUCC